UUCUCUCAUCUUCUUAUCCGCAUCUUCUAUCUUUUUAUCUUUUAUAUGAAUAAUAUUGCUCUUGAACAUUAUGUUGACGCUCGCAGGUGUAAAGUGGCGUCAAUUAUAAGGGGUCCUUUCUUCUUAUACCGCAUUUUCUUGAAUUCUUGUUAAGCCUUUCAUUCAUCUUAUUCGCUCUUCUUGUGUCCUUCCUUGGCUUUCUCCCAGUUCUCUGCUUUCUACUCUCUAAUCUCCCUUUGUCGCGCGAGUAUGGAUGUGCUCGAAAGUCUCAUCACUUAUCCGGUGGAGGGAAUACUGAAGUCGGUCGGUUCACGUGCUGCUCAAGAAAUCGGUCUUUUCCGAGGAUUCAAAAAAGAAGCAACUGAGCUUGCUGUAUCGUUAGAGGAAAUUGAAGAGUUCUUAGGCGAUGUUGCCCACCAACCACAUGAUCGGGGCGUGGCAGUCAGAAACUGGGUCAAGAAACUGAAAGAUGUAGCUCAUGAUGCCGAUGACGUCUUGGCGGACAUCAACUGCGAAGUUCUCCGUCGUAAAGCAGAAAUUCAAAACCACAUGAAGAAGAAGGUACUUAACUUCUUUUCGCUCUCCAAUCCCAUUUUAUUUCGUCAAAAGAUGGCACACAAGAUUAAGAACAUCAACGCGUCACUGGCGGUUCUCAAGGGUGACGCAUCUCGGAUUCAUUUGGUUGCAAGGGGAGUAGAUCAUACCCCUCCUCCAAUUAUGAGGAACAGAAAAACUGACUCGAGAUUCGGUCAGUCUGAUAAGAUCAUUAUUGGAAGGAAGGAAACUAAGUCGGAUAUCAUUAAAAUGUUGAUGUCCAAGAAUCAGGAAAAGAACCUUUCGGUUAUGGCCGUUGUGGGAAUCGGAGGACUCGGAAAGACGACUUUGGCAAAAUCAAUAUUCAAUGAUGAUGCUAUUCGUACGCCUUUUGAUGAAAAAAUGUGGGUCUGUGUAUCCGACACUUCUGACGUUGAUCAGAUACUAAAUUGGAUGUUAGAAUCCCUUAAGUCAGACAGGACAGGACUUACAAGUCGGCAAGCAUUGCUGGAUGACCUCACGGAAAGGUUGACAGACAAGAGAUAUAUUCUGAUACUUGAUGAUGUUUGGAAUGAAGAGAAGAAUUUUUGGAGGGAGUUUAUGGAUUGUUUGUCGAAAGUCAAUUCUGGUCCCGGAAGCGUUGCCAUUGUUACUACCCGUAAGGCUAAUGUUGCAUCAAUCAUUGAGACAAUGCCGAGGUGUGAUUUGAAGGGCCUAUCGGAGGAGGAUUGUUGGUCUUUAUUAAAGGGUGAAGCAUUUCCAGAUGGUGAUGCUUCUUCUCUAGAUUCAGAUCAAGAGCGCAUUGGAAGGGCCAUGGCUAAAAAGUGUGCUGGUGUACCAUUGGUGGCAAAGGUUUUAGGAAGCCUAAUGCGUUCUAAAAAUAGCAGGCGUGAAUGGUCGUCAAUUCUAGAAAGUGAAAUAUGGGAAUUACCAAAUGAAGAUAAGAAAAUCAUGUCGGUCUUGAAGUUGAGUUUUGAUAAUUUAACACCGUCAUCAUUGAAGCAAUGUUUUGCAUAUUGCUCAAUGUUUGUGAAAGAUUCUAAAAUUGAAAAAGAUAAGUUGGUCCAGCUCUGGAUGGCUCAAGGAUAUCUCCAUUCUUCUCCCAACAUAAGUAUGGAGGAUAUAGGUAAUGAAUAUUUUAAUAUUCUAUUGCAAAACUCUUUAUUUCAAGAUGCUAGAGAAAAGUACGGCACUACCAUUUGCAAGAUGCACGAUCUGGUGCAUGAUCUUGCAGAAAAAGCAUUCAAAUCUGAAAGCUUGAUGCGAGACUUGGAUCAGGUGGAUGAUGAAAUUGAGAUUCAGCAUGUUGCGCAUAUUUCUUCCACUACAAUUGAAAGAAUUCCAAAAGGGAGUGUUGAGAGAUUGCGGUCGUUGUUUGUUGAUUGCAAGGUCCCUAAUAACACCUUUCAAAGGUUUAAAGGUUUACGGACGUUGAAUUUAUUCGAUGCCGAAAUUGAGGAGUUGCCCAGUUCAAUUGGAAAGUUGAAACGCUUGAGGUAUCUCGACAUUUCCUGGACAAGAAUAAAAGAACUCCCCAAAUCUAUUGGCAAGCUCUAUAAUCUUGAGACGUUAAGAAUGUCAUAUAUAGGCAUUAAAACGUUUCCUAGGGAAAUGGAAAAUUUGAUCAACUUGAGACAUGUUUAUUUCGACAAGGAUGUUGAAGUUCCAUUUGGGAUGACAAGAUUGACUCAUCUGCAAACGCUACCUUGUUUUAAAUUGGAUAGAGCAAGGCGUCAUAGACUUGAUGAGCUAGGUGGGUUAAAUGAACUGAAAGGGGAACUAGUUAUUGGAUCAUUGGAAUUUGUGAGGGACAAGGAAGAAGCAAUGGAAUCAAAAUUAGUGGAAAAGGCAAACCUACGAAAAUUGAUAUUAAAAUGGGGGAAAGAAAGAAAUGGCAAUUUUCUUGACGAGGAUAUUCUUGAAGGACUCCAACCGCACCACAACGUAGAAAGCUUGACGAUUGAGGAAUUCAAGGGUACUAAAUUUGCAUCUUGGAUGAUGAGAAAUUGUCGAGCAACCAAUCUCCGUUAUUUGAGAACUAGGAGCUGUCAGCAAUUGUUGAGCUUGUGUUGUGGGUUAGAAUAUUGCCCCUCACUUGAGACGGUGGAAAUUGAGGAUUGCGGUAAUCUAGAAUCCUUCCAAAUUUCACCAUUCCAAUCUCUUCAGGUGUUGAGGAUAGAAGAUUGCCCAAAGCUAAGAUGCACUUCAAUUCAGAGUCUGCCCUCACUCCGUGAUUUGGUUAUUAAGAGGUGCACUACUCUCGAGGGGGACUUGUCUUUAAAUGGUUGCACAUCCCUCCGUGAAUUGACAAUUAGCGACUGCGAUGGAUUCACAAGUAUACUGAGUGGGCUCCAUUCUUGUACUAUUCUUCGCAAACUGCAGAUCAGGAGUUGUCGAAAUUUGAGGACUUUGUCGGGUCAUGGGCUACAAACCCCCGUCUCUCUUGAGACGAUAAUAAUACAGGAGUGCCCUAAUCUAGAGGCUAUUCCCAGUUUAGACAACCUCACGUCCCUCACUGAGUUGAUUAUUUCGGGAUGUGAUGGAUUAAUAAGGCUACCGAGUGGGCUUGCAUCCUGCACAUCUCUUACCAGUUUGAUUGUCAGUUUUUGCCGCAAUCUAGAGGCUAUUCCCAGUUUAGACAACCUCACGUCCCUCACUGAGUUGCUUAUUGCGGGAUGUGAUGGAUUAAUAAGGCUACCGAGUGGGCUUGCAUCCUGCACAUCUCUUACCCUUUUGGCUGUCAAUUUAUGCUGCAAUCUAGAGGCUAUUCCCAGUUUAGACAACCUCACGUCCCUCACUGCAUUAAGGGUCUACUUAUGCGCCAAUUUGAUAUCUCUGGCGGAUGACAAUGUGUCCAGCUUACAAUCUCUUUCCUCUUUAGAUUUAUCUGAUUGUCGGAAAUUACAAUAUUUGCCCAAGGGGCUGCACUCUCUAUCUCGUUUGGAAAAGUUGUCUCUCGGUGCCUUCUGCCAAGAGCUCGAUUCUUUUCCGGAUUUUCAGGUCCCAUCGAAACUGAAAGAAUUAGAAUUGUGCGGGUGGCCUAAGCUCAAGUCUCUGCCUCAGCAAAUUCAACACUCUGCUUCUCUAACACAUUUGUCCAUUUCUUGUUUCGAUGGUCUGGAGGCUCUUCCAGAGUGGUUGGGCAACCUCACUUCUCUUACUGUGUUGAAAAUUGCGCUAUGUGAGAACCUGAUGUAUCUGCCUACGGUCGAAGCUAUGCAACGCCUAACCAAUUUACAUGAUCUAGGGAUUAUUGGGUGUCCCCGUCUGUCAGAAAGAUGCGCCGCGGACAGCGGCCCAGAAUGGCCAAAGAUUUCUCACAUUCCAGAGAGUUUGAUAUCAGAGUGAUGACGGAACCUCUCAUGAAUCGACCAUCUAAUCUAUUCACCGUUGUGGGAAUCUCAAGUAUCUAUCGGCACUUGGGAAGCCAAUCCAAAUUUUACUGUUGCGUAAAAUUUCUGGCAUUUCCCAGAGUCAAGUAUAUACUUUUGUACAAGGUUGUGUUUCUUCUCACUGUGUGCACGUCCUCUCAACUUACACAGUUUUAUUAGACCAAUUUUAUGGAAGCUUAUUUAAGAAGGGAAUCCAGUAAGAGAAUUGCAUUAAGAGAGGAGGCAAUCCCAGCACAAGGAAAACUUGGACACGAAAAUAGCAGAUUUCAGUAUGUCCAUGGUUUUUACCAGUGAUAAUGGGACUCGUGUGGUGACAUCAGUCAUGGGCACAGCGGGUUAUCUUGAUCCUGACAUGGGUUUUGUGCUGUGUCAUGUCAACUAACACAAGGUUUGGAAAUGGAGGUGCCUGGGCAUCCAGAAAGAACUCCAGGCUCAAAUGAAUAAACUCGUGUUAUGAUUUCACCAUACCAUAGUUCACCUAGAGUGAUUUCCAGAUGUUCAGAUUCCACAAAUGCAGGUUCCAUGACUGCACCAUGCUAGGACAUUGUCACACAUUUUAAAUACCAGGUAGUUCACAGGCUGCAAUGAGACAGUGAGAUGAAGAUCUCAACUGGUUUCCUCGUCCUACUGCUCUGUGCAAGUUUCGUUCAUGGAGAGUGCUGAAUAGAUUCAAGCAAGUGCAAGAAGAACAUUGUUGUUCCAAUACUUGGAUCAUCACUUUCAACAAUGGCCCUCCUUCAAGUUAUAGUGCUCUUACUGGUCUGGAAGCUGAGAAGAAUAAGAAAACCAGCUGCAGAUGGAGAAAAACAUAACAAAACACCUGUAGCAUCAAUGAAAUCCCAGUGUACUUGUGACGAGGUUUUAGAAAUCACCGAAAACUUUCAAACUGAAAUUGGGAAAGGAGGAUUUGGGAUUGUAUACCAUGGCUACUUGGAAGAGGGUACUCAAGUUGCGGUUAAAAUACUUUCUCCAUCGUCAACUGAAGGAGCUAGGGAGUUCCAAACAGAGUUUUGACAGUUAGGAUUUUAAUUCCUUGGAAUUGCAAGUGCCUUGUCUCGUUGGUUAGAGAUUGAUGGGUUCCUUGUCGCUGCUGGUUGAGCUCCUGAUGAGAAUCCAUCAUAGAAACUUGGCCUCAUUUAUUGGAUACUGUGAUGAAACCGACUACUUGGUACUUAUAUUAUAUACGAGUACAUGCCUAAAGGAAACCUAAAAGAAUCUCUCUCAGAUAGAAGCUCACAUAUGACUUGGGAAAUGAACUUCGGAUAACACUAGAUAUUGCGUUAGGACUGUUUACUUGCAUAAAGGUGCAAUCCAUGUAUUGUGCGUAGAGAUGUAAAUACUGCCACAGUCUCUUAAGUGAAAACUUGGACGCAAAAAUAGCAGAUUUCGGUCUGUCCAUGGCUUUUCCCAGUGACAGUGAGACUCGUGGUGACAUCAGCCAAGAGUACAGCGGGGUAUCUUGAUCUUGAGUACUAUAAUUAUCAAAGGUUGAAUGAAAAAAAUUGAUGUUUAGAGUUUUACUGGCCAACCUGCAAUCAUAGAAAAUGAUGAUCUUCUCUACAUAGUGGAGUUGGUGAAUCCUGAUUCCUGAGUUCCAGAACGGGGAUUUGAGAUCGAAGGAUUUGAGGAGAGUUUGACGUGAAUUCGUUCUGGAAACCAUUAGAGACAGCAAUUGCAUGCACAGCUUCCACCUCUCAGCAGAGAGUUUUGUGCUGUGCGUUAACAGAGUGUUUGGAAAUGGAGGUGUACAUCUAGGCAUCGAGAAAGAGCUCCAUGCUCAAAUGAAGAAGCUCGUGUUACGAGUUCACCAUACCAGAGUUCACCUGGAGUAAUUUCCAGAUGUUCAUAUUCCACAAAUGCAGGUUCCAUGUAAGCAUCCUAUUUCUGCUGUUGCAGCCAAAAGAAGGGGAGGCAGUUGUCAUUUUGGUCAUCAACUUUCAAGAUAAUAGUGACCAAAGACUUAAUACCAAUCAUCUUUCUCACUACUCUUGAAUUAUCAUUCACAUUCGCCAUCCGUCAAUAAUGUUUGAACUUUUGACUCUCUGUACUUUGUGUAUUUAUCUAUCGUAAACUCAUCCAACGGCUAUGAUUCUCAAAUAAAUUCUCAAAUAAAGAAUCAUAUUUUGUUAAUACA